UUUCCGUAGGUGAACCUGCGGAAGGAUCAUUACUGAGUGAGGGCCCUCUGGGUCCAACCUCCCACCCGUGUUUAUUGUACCUUGUUGCUUCGGUGCGCCCGCCUCACGGCCGCCGGGGGGCUUCUGCCCCCGGGUCCGCGCGCACCGGAGACACCAUUGAACUCUGUCUGAAGAUUGCAGUCUGAGCAUAAACUAAAUAAGUUAAAACUUUUAACAACGGAUCUCUUGGUUCCG
rnacentral:misc_RNA from 1 species